rnacentral:rRNA from 1 species
AUUGAACGCCGGCGGCAGGCUUAACACAUGCAAGUCGAGCGAGGUGAUGGUGCUUGCACUAUCGCUUAGCGGCGGACGGGUGAGUAAUGCUUAGGAAUCUGCCUAUUAGUGGGGGACAACAUCUCGAAAGGGAUGCUAAUACCGCAUACGUCCUACGGGAGAAAGCAGGGGAUCACUUGUGACCUUGCGCUAAUAGAUGAGCCUAAGUCGGAUUAGCUAGUUGGUGGGGUAAAGGCCUACCAAGGCGACGAUCUGUAGCGGGUCUGAGAGGAUGAUCCGCCACACUGGGACUGAGACACGGCCCAGACUCCUACGGGAGGCAGCAGUGGGGAAUAUUGGACAAUGGGGGGAACCCUGAUCCAGCCAUGCCGCGUGUGUGAAGAAGGCCUUAUGGUUGUAAAGCACUUUAAGCGAGGAGGAGGCUCUUUUGGUUAAUACCCAAGAUGAGUGGACGUUACUCGCAGAAUAAGCACCGGCUAACUCUGUGCCAGCCGCCGCCGUAA